AUAUUUCUUUCUUAUCAUUUAGAUCCAAAAUAGCUCAGGUAAUUUAUCUAGCCCAUGAGCUAAUAAAUUAAGUGUAAUUGAAGCUAAGCUUCUUCACAUGCUCGCCAUGUCCCUAAACCUUACGUAUGAGAUCUACACUCCAACGGACGUGCUGCAACUGGACACGCUCAUGAAAAUGAUUGACGAAAGAUACUAGACUGGAUGUUAGCACAAAUCGUACACCACGAAAUCGAUUUGACCACUUCUUUUGAUCCUCAAUUAUAUUCAAGAAGCAUAAAUAUUGACGUUACCGUACCUGUAAUGGUUGGAUAGCUAAAUGGAGAUAGUUUUCCU